rnacentral:lncRNA from 1 species
AGUGUUUGCACAGGACCCGGGCGCAGCCACUGGGGCUGGCGAGGACACACCUGGUCCCGGCCAGCGCGGCGGAGGGCAUCGUGACUCCAGGCUGUACCGCGGCCCCCAACGAAGCACGUGACCCUCGUGUGGUCAUAAAGGGAGAGCACAGUUUUACGGGGAGGGACUGGGUAGCGGUCUCAGUAACAGGCAGAGUGCCAUAGUGUCAGUCCCUUUUCCCAAACUCCGAUCAGGAAGGGAAACACCCCCACCCACUCCGCUCCCAUCCCCAGAAGUCCCUCAGAAGCUCUUUUCUCCCCGAAGAGGACCCUGGGAAGGUGGCUCCCGCCUCACUCCUAGAGUGAAAUCCUCGCAGCCCUGCCCUCGCGGGCGGAGCAGAGACGCCGCCGCUUGGCCGGUUCACGCCUGUCACACAAAGCCGCCGAGGGUCGGCUGCGCCCCUGGCAAGGCUGUAGGGCUGGGGAUACUGAGUAUGACAGGCGAGGUCCCUGCUCUCAAGAACUUACAUGGGAGAGAAGGGGAGACAAGAUAAACAGGAGCCAGAGAAUUCUCGUAGCUGUGAUUAGACAUCAACCUUGGGCAUGCUAAACAUUUCAGCCUGGACACCCUGAGAAGAGCCAGUGCCACUGGUGACAGCUGCUUCUGUGCGGGCUUUUGCUUGGCCAGAGAGGCAGGACCUUCUCCCUGGCAUUUUGAGGAGUGGUGCCGGGUGGGCAGUGACUGCACUAGCAACAGUCUAUACCAAGAGAAGACCUCAAAUUCCCAGAGAAGAAAGGCAGCGAGGCCAAGAAAUGCUGCCGCCGCUUAACAAGUGAAGAUGCAUACUGGAGAAUAGGAACUGAACACGCGAAGGAGUUUCGGCUUUACUGCCUUCUCUCCUAGCAUUGAACAGAUCUUCUCUGCUGUUGAUUAUUCUCCAUGAAUCAUCAUCCAUAGAAAGUGACUGAGGCAAUAGAGAGUGAAUAAUGAAUCUCUCAAAUAGUCUUUUGUGUUUCUGCCUGGAGGGUUUUGGAAAUAACUUGCAUCUUAAUCUUUCUGACUUAGAAUCAUAGAAUUUGGGAGCUGAAAAGGACCUUCAUCAGGGCAUGUGGCCUCACAGAAAGACUGGAAGAAAAGAUUUGUGGGUAUGAGCCUCUGGUUCAUCACUAAAAAUAGGCCUAGUCUAACAUAUAUUGGAGGCUUUCCUUGUGUCAGGUACUCAUUUAUUCUUCCAAAACCUUGGGAGGUAGGUGCUGCUAUUCCUCCAUUCUGCAGAGGAGGAAGAGAUGAGGAGACAGUAGAUCACCAGAGGGCAGUGUGAGGGGUGUGCUGGAACCAUCAUGUGGAACUGGCUCUGGUUCCAGAAUCCACAUCCUCUCGGUCAUUCCACUCCCACAUCAAGUGGCUUUGGACAAGUAAUUUAACUUCUUUGGAUCUCAGUUUUCUCCUCCGUGAUCUCUAAAGUUUAAAAAUUACUAACAGUCUGCAUCUGCCACCCAAGCAUGUGAUUUUACAAGUCAGAAAAGUGUAGCGCAGAAAUGUUAAGUGACCUGCCCUAGGUCACCCAGGUUGCUAAGGGCAGAAUCAGCACAGAAACCCAGGCCCAGUGACCACUGCCCCCAGGCAAGACCUCCUUCCCUUCCACUGCACUUUGGCAGGUGUUCUAGGGGAAUCCAACUCCUUGCCUUAGAGGAGACCUGUUCAAUGAUAUCAGAUAGACUGGAGAUGUUACGUUUUGGUGUGGCCAAUCACAACACCAGGAUGAGCUUAGGAGGCUGGUGAUAUUUGUCUAUCUAAGCACCCCCAACCUAUCUAUCUGUCUGCUGUUUGUCUAUCUUUCUCAGGUUAUGCAUAGUGACCAAACCCCGCCUGGUAACUGUAGGGAAAGAGCAUGACUGGUGUGUUACAGCUACACACGCCCCCUGGUGGUAUUUCCAGUUGUUUGUCCUCUUCAUGCAAAUGUUGCCACCUUGUGCCAGCUCUCUCACCUAGCUUCCUUCAUGACGACAGUGGUUGCAAUUCUGCUCCUCUCUCUGCCUUCCCCUGUCCUUGGCUCCCCAUGUCCAGAAUCUGAUCAUUUACUGGUGUGCACCCUGGGAUGUGAUGUGUGCUUUGGGAGGAGACAGGACCCAACAGUAUCUCAGCUGUGCUCUGGUAAUCAGUGUGCACCACAUUACAAGCAUCCUCAUCCCAGUAUCCUCCCUAUUGAAAAAGAAAUGGGAAAGGGGUGGAUGUGUCAAUAAACACAACAUUGAAGGCAUCUGAAAUAGAACAAG